rnacentral:tRNA from 1 species
GGGCUCGUAGUUCAGUCAGCAGAACGUCACGUUCGCAGCGUGAAGGCCGCGGGUGCGAAUCCCGCCGAGUCCA